AUUGAACGCUGGCGGCAGGCUUAACACAUGCAAGUCGAGCGGGGUGAGGUGCUUCGGUACUGAUCCUAGCGGCGGACGGGUGAGUAAUGCUUAGGAAUCUGCCAUUUAGUGGGGGACAACAUUCCGAAAGGAAUGCUAAUACCGCAUACGUCCUACGGGAGAAAGCAGGGGAUCUUAGGACCUUGCGCUAAAUGAUGAGCCUAAGUCGGAUUAGCUAGUUGGUGGGGUAAAGGCCUACCAAGGCGACGAUCUGUAGCGGGGCUGAGAGGAUGAUCCGCCACACUGGGACUGAGACACGGCCCAGACUCCUACGGGAGGCAGCAGUGGGGAAUAUUGGACAAUGGGCGGAAGCCUGAUCCAGCCAUGCCGCGUGUGUGGAGAAGGCCUUUUGGUUGUAAAGCACUUUAAGCGAGGAGGAGGCUACCUAGAUUAAUACUCUGGGAUAGUGGACGUUACUCGCAGAAUAAGCACCGGCUAACUCUGUGCCAGCCGCCGCAGUAAAAC
rnacentral:rRNA from 1 species